rnacentral:rRNA from 1 species
GACGAACGCUGGCGGCGUGCUUAACACAUGCAAGUCGAACGGAAAGGCCCUGCUUUUGUGGGGUGCUCGAGUGGCGAACGGGUGAGUAACACGUGAGUAACCUGCCCUUGACUUUGGGAUAACUUCAGGAAACUGGGGCUAAUACCGGAUAGGAGCUCCUGCUGCAUGGUGGGGGUUGGAAAGUUUCGGCGGUUGGGGAUGGACUCGCGGCUUAUCAGCUUGUUGGUGGGGUAGUGGCUUACCAAGGCUUUGACGGGUAGCCGGCCUGAGAGGGUGACCGGCCACAUUGGGACUGAGAUACGGCCCAGACUCCUACGGGAGGCAGCAGUGGGGAAUAUUGCACAAUGGGCGGAAGCCUGAUGCAGCAACGCCGCGUGCGGGAUGACGGCCUUCGGGUUGUAAACCGCUUUCGCCUGUGACGAAGCGUGAGUGAAGGUAAUGGGGAAGAAGCACCGGCUAACUACGUG